rnacentral:pre_miRNA from 1 species
UGUCGUCCAGAGCCCUUUUUCUGUUGUACUACUGCGACAUGACAAGAGCAGUGCAAUAUUAAAAGGGCAUUGGCUGGCA